CAGCUACUCCCUGCGUCCGAAAAAAUUUGUCCCUCAAAAGGAUGCAUCUAGCACCAAGUUAGUGCUAGAUACAUCCAUUUGAGGUACAAGUUUGGAACAAGCUUUUUUGGAUGGAGGGAGUACACA
rfam:Triticum aestivum genome assembly, contig: Triticum_aestivum_CS42_TGACv1_scaffold_501079_6BL